GUUUCUAGAGCUCGGAGGCUGCUGGUAGGGGGUGCUUGUAGACAUGGAAGAAGGCCUCACCUUCUCCAUGGCUGACAACCGAGAAGGCUGGUCUGACUUGGAAGAAGCUGUGUGGCCAACAGCCAAUUGGCUGUAUCACAUGGGCACCACUUUCAGAUAAAAACAUAGACCUGAAUGGCAUCAUCCAGUAUCCAAGGAAACCAUUGUGUCUGUAACCAGCUAAUGAGCUGCAACAGAGCCUGGCCUUCAUUUUCAGCAAAUUAAGUUCAUCCCUCAUAGGAAUUGUGGUCUGGCUGUGGCACCGCUCCUAGGUAUGGGUGGGAUUUGUUUCUUCUAGCAGUUGUAGGUUAGCCACAUGGGUACGUGCUGUCGCACCACACAACAAAAUUUUCUCUAUAAUAACCAGUCUAAGUAGGCUUUUACCCCACAAAAGUAGAUCCCAUUUAAUUUACUUUGUGUUUAUAGCACUCCCUCUCAAACCGCACCAUUGGCACAGACUAAUAUUUAUACAACUUUUUAUUUUAAACUAUUUAUUUGGAGUUGAGACUUCAGUAGCACUCCCUGUCAGAUUCAUUGAACAAGCUUAAAUUCAGGAUACUGAAAAUGUAAAUUGGGAAGAGGGAUGUAUGUUCUUGGGAUUCUUUUCUCCCGUGCAUGGACACCCAAACAACUCUCACUGUAGUAAAGGGAGGUUACACAUGUGUUGAUAACAUUUGUAUUACUGCUGGUAGGAAAUUGAACAUUGAUGGGUGGUUUUAAAAGCCUGCUUUUGCCUAUUGUGUUUCCACAUUUCUUUGCCAAUAUAGUUGGUCAAAUUAGUUAUGCAAAAUGCAUCUAAAAACUUCUAAUCCAAAAGUGUCAAUGUUGUUAAAGAUUUCUUUUCAUACACAAAGAAAUAUUACAUUGCUCCAUUAUUUUAAUGGAAGUCGUUAGUCAAAUACGCUUUUGCCACAGAAAGAAAAGGGAAAAAAUUCUUAAUUUUGUAUCUGACCUCUGCUUUGGGGCCUUACUUUAAGUUACAUUUUUCUUAAAUAAAGCUUUUCUGUUUUUUAAAGUGAAUGACGGGAUGUUAACUUUAAAUAGACAUUUAACCACAUAAAGUAUAGUGGCAGAUGGUUCAUUUUUCUACUCAGGGUAGACACUUUAUUCAGGUAAUGAUAUUUAAUCCUCAUUUUCUAUGAAAUCUGCAUGUUGUUCUUAAAUCUGAUACUAUUUUGUGAUUUAAAAUGAGUGUUGGGUUAACUUUGUUUACAAGUGAAGUAUUUAUCCCUUUGAUUCUCUUUUACUUUCUUCUUUUGGUAAACACCUAUCCGUUUCUAAGACCCACUUAUAUGUUAUCUCAUCAAGGAAAAUUUUCCCAUCCUCCCAAAGGAGAACAGAACUCCACUGUAGUGGAAUAAGUUUUUUGAGGUAUGAACCAAUGCUUCUGUCCUCCUAAUAUUCUUACAACCUCUAACCCGCCUCUGCAUUCAGGAAACCAGAAUACAUUAGGGAGGAGACAGCAAAGGAAAACAAAAGACAAUAAAGGAAUCGAUGUAUUUGUUUUGUAACUCAAAGUUAAAGUCCAAAUUUAGAAAAUAGAUUUGAAAGCAUAACGGGUCAAUUUCUGUUGUGCCUCUGAAGAAGAAAGUUGAGAAAGAACGAAGAGGGCUUAGAUGCUGGUGGGUGUCUGCAAAAAAGCCCAGACAAUGCCUGGAAUAAUAAAGAAGCAGAGAACUUCCAGGGAGGAAGGGAACAGUCUCUAAGAUGGAGCAGGACCUGGGGAAGUCUUGCUUCUCCACUGAAGAACAUGGACCAAGACCAGGGCAGAAGGGAUGGCAGCUUCCCCGUAGAGCAGUGAGGACGGAUGACGACAUGAAGACUGGACUGCUCAUUCUCACCUUCCCUUCACAGUCCCUGGCACUUUUUAAGCUCCUUGGAAAUUAGAGGCAAUCUAGGAGAAAGGGGGAUAGAAGCAGACCUUAUUUCUGUUACAAUGUGAAUGGGAGCUUCAAAUUGAAGAUAAAAUGUUAUGGAAAAAGUGAAAUUAUAUAUAUAUUUUGCACAUCGUAGCUUGGUGGCUUUAGGUUUCUGUGCAUCAAAGGAAGGAAUUGUGUCUUCCUCAUUGUCAUACUCUGGUAUUGGAGAUUGUGCAACAUAUAUAGUAGGUAUGCAAUAAACAGCUGUUAACAGAAUGAAUCAAUACUUUGUAGAGUAUUGCCAACCACUCCAGAGCUUUGAUCUGGCUUCUCUGUUGGGUCAGGAAAAAAAAGAAAAAAGGAGUCCUGCUUUAUUUGUGCCUGUUGCAUGCCAGCUUGGCCUGUUUACUCCUGUGGUUUCCCGCAUUCCAAAGCAAUGCAACGUUGCUUGAAGUUACACUUGAGCAUUUUCUAGAGCAUUUCUUCUGUCCAUCCUACUUGCAGUGACUCCACUUCAGUUCCUUGUAUGCCAGCUGCUGUGAUAGCUUGCUGUCACUAAACAUCUACAUGUGUCCACCCCAGAGGAAUUAAGUGGGACCACAUUAAUGCUAGGGAGCUGGCGGUCUUCCAAAACUGCACUCUGGGUCAUUCUGUCUUGUGCUUUGGUAAAGUCUUUUCCCCCAUCGCCUUCCAGUGGGGAGAGGGAUAGGGUACAGCCUACAAAACAGAAACAGAAUGCCCAGUGUGCGGGUGGAAUACUUCCUCUUUCCUUCGUGAGUAGAGGAGACCGAUUCAGAGGAUGUUCCACUUAUUCAUUCCCUUCUAGUGUAAUUUUUGCUCAAUAUUUUCUCUUUCUGUCACCUAUAAACCAGAGGGGAUAUCCACUGGUAUACUGCGUUGUGUGGAACGAGGGGGACUGUUCUGUUUCCUCCUUCAGCUCUUGUGAAGGCACUUGCCAUUUCCCUGAUGCACCAUUUAGACAUCAGUGUCCACAUCUUGUAAGUCAAACUUGUGUCAUCCAAAAGGUUCUCAUACACAUUCAAAUGUUAAUAAAUGCCAAUAUCUUGUUCAUGACCUUACACAUAAAUCUGAAAUAUGUAAGAAAGUGUAAACUACCCUCCUUUUUACCUCCACUCUUCUCUCAUAUAUCAGUUCAUAUACUGCUUGUUGCAAGUAGCAGAAAACCCAAUUCAAACUGACUUAACGGGCAUGUAGGGGCCUCAUAACUGGAAGGUGGUGUGGUGUAGGUGGCUCUGUUGUGUCAAGAAAACAUGGUUGUUUUCUGUCUCUCCACUCUGACAUCCAGGGCCUCCUUCACAGUCGCAAGAUGACUUCCAGCAGCUGGCACAAGGAUUACCUGUUUCUUUUUGUUCAUAUCCUAUAGACACAUGGUAACUACUAAGGGACCUUCUUUCUCAGAGCCCUCUGGAAAUAUGUAUAUAUAUACUUAUAUAUAUAUAUAUUUUAAUAUAUUAUAUAUAAUAUAUAUUUGUGUGUGUGUGUGUGUGUGUGUGUGUGUGUGUGUGUAUCUACACAUAUAUAUGUUUUUUUGAGACAGUCUUGCUGUGUUGCCCAGGCUGGACUGCAGUGGCACCAUCUCGGCUCACUGCAACCUGUGUCUCCUGAGUUCAAAGGAUUCUCUUGCCUCUGACUCCUUAGUGGCUGUGAUUAUAGGCACGUGCCACCACGCCUGGCAUAUUUUUGUAUUUUUAUUACAGGCUCAGUUUCGUCAUGUUCCUCAGCUGGUCUCGAAGUCCUAGCCUCAAGCGAUCCACCUGCCUUGGCCCCCCAAAAGUGCUAGGAUUACAGGUGUGAACCACCAUGCCUGGCCUGGAAAUAUAUGCUUAAAUCUUACCUGCCCAAUUUUGAAACACAUGUUAUACACAUGCAAUGAGUCACUCUUCUCCUUCUUUAUCAUUUAUCACUUCUACUAUCUCUUUGGGUAGUAGAUAAAAGGGAAUGAGGACACUAUAACAUAUCAAAAUGGGCCUGAAUGAGACUGCAAUGAAGAAUAUACCUCCAGUUUGCACUCCAGCCCAGGUGACAGUGUGAGACUCAAUCUCUCUCUCUCUCUCUCUAUAUAUAUAUAUAUAUACUUCCAGUGACACGGACUUCAGCUGCUUGCAAUUAAUCACUCUCAAUCAAUCAAUUGACGCCGAUUGGGCUGUGAAAAUAGUUGGGUGAAGCUGUGUUCAAGCUCCGACCUUACUGUUUACCAGAUGUGUAAUCCUGGUCAAUUCAUCUACCCUUUCAGAAACCUAGUUUUCUUAUUAAGAUCAAACAAGAUAUUUGCAAAACCACACCAAUAACUUCUGCAUUCUCCAAAGGCCAGGCAUUAUUAUUAUUGCUUUUUCAAAUGAAAUCAGAAGAUUGAUCUUCAUUAGGAGUUACUUUCAGAUCUACAUUUAUAGAUUUUACAGUGUAUCAGUCAUUAAUUUUCUUAAAUAUCAUGCUAAGAAAAUUAUUUGUGAAAUAUUUUUUAUUUAUAGAUGUUAUAGUAUUACUAAUACAUGAACCUUAAAAAAUAAUUAGAAUUCUCAGCACAUCCUAAGAAAAACUUUUUAUUCCAUAACUAAUUUCUAAUUUUUGAAACACGGAUGUUAAGUGUAAAGUUAAUUGUUUUACAGUUUUGAGUUAAUGAACAUGAAAAACAAUACCUCCCUUUCCAUUUGAACUGCCUUAAAACUCAGAGUUGAAUUCAGACCUUAGCUGGGGAAAGUUCUAUUUUAGAUUCUUCUAAUAGCUAUCUCUUUGCUUUGUUUUAUUCAUCUUUAUUCUCAUUUACUUUCAACUGAUUCAUGCUAUCUACGUAUUUCAACAUUCUGAGUAGCUUCAUAUUCUUUAUGGAAAUUACAAAAAGGAAAAAGAAAGAUAUGAAGGGAGGGAAAAAAGACAGGAGAAAGGAAAGAGUAGAGAGGGUGUUGGAGAAGGAAUGACAAACUCUGAGCCAAGCAGUGGCUUGCAAACAAGAAGGAAUCGAUUGGAGACGGUUGGUGAGAAGGCACUUACAGGUGCCAAAGAGAGAAGAAAUAAGAUCUGGACUGAAGGUCAUGACAGUGAGAAAGGAGAUCAGGGGAUAAGCUUAAGAACUUUUUCAGGUGAACAACAAAGAAGACUUGGAAACUCAGUGAUCAGGGAUUGGAAAUGAUGGUGAUGGUAAGUGGAAUAUCAUUGAUGCUGAACAUUCAAACCUCACUGAUGUCAGAAAAGGUAUGAAGAUGGGGUGGAGCAGGGGACAGAGAUAAAAGUGCCAGACAUAGUGCUAGCCAAUUUACAGAAAGCGCUUAACUUUACAUGAAUAGUCUUAUUUAAUUCCCCAAAUAACCAUUUGAGAUAUUAGUAUUCCUCUUUGCAGAUGAGUAAAUUUUAAAAGAGCAGGGUUUUUGUUGUUGUUGUUUUUUGAACUGGUAAUUCUGACUUAUACAGACAUGACAAACUCCAAAAGGAAACCCAAGCAGCUAUUUGGCUCCCUUAAUUAAUGAAGUCGCCCAGUAUGGAUAAUUCAGGUAAAAAACAAUUACUCCUCUUUCCUCAUCAGAUAUCAUGUUGUGAUCUUGCAUGUGUAUAAGAAUAUGUGUUUGGAGAAGGAAUUAUUUUUACUGCAGAAAGUUUCUUCUUUGUGUUGGUUAUGUAACAUUAACUUCACUCAUAUAGCAACUUGGAUGUGCCUGGAAAAUAGCUCCAUUAUUUUGUCUAUAACUAUUCUGGUUCUCUUAUAAAUAUAGAGUCCUAUGCAUUUUAAAAUUCAGUCCAAUCCAAUAAUUAAAACCAUCCCUUUAGGUAAUGCUGUCUCUUUUGGAAAACAUGCCUAGUCUCCCAGAUUUCUCAGCCUUCUGUCCACUUCCAGGCACCCCUUCAAGUUGGUGUCUGGGUGCUUUCACAGUCUAGGAGUGGUAGGGAAGAGCUGGUAUUCUUUGGUGCAGAGACCUGUUGAUCCUCUGGCUUUUGGGGUGCUGUCCUUCUCUAUUGUCUUGCUGGCACUCAUAGCUGAUCUAGGCACCUUUUAUGUUAAGUUGAUCAACUCUCCCUCCCCUUGGCUUUGGUUGAUGCUACAGAACAUCUGUCUCUGCUUUAUUCUCAAGUGGCUCCCUGGUGGAAAGCCCAAACUGAGCCUCUGCCAUGGAAGCACCUUGCCUGCCAGUUCUCACCUCAGCUGCCUCGUCAUUUCCCCUGGGGCUUAGAUGCAGGGUUUUGUAGAAAUUCCUAGUUUCUAUCCAGGCCACAUUGAAACUCAGAGGAGUCUAGAAAGCCAUUCCUCAAGGUUAAGAGAUGAGUUCUCAGCAGGGGCAGCUCCAGAAGGUUGCAUUCUAGAGUCAGGUAUGGAAUUUGGGACUGCUUUUCCCUUGAGCUUCCCAGCACACAACUACUAAGAAAAGAGAAAGCCAGAAAGGGAAAUUGAAAUGCAGUCUCAGAUUGCUUUCCAUCCUCUACCAUUCUCAGCUCCCAGAAACAGAAGGGAUGGGCUUAGUUCUCCUUUAACUUUAUACUAAGCCCUUGUAUAUACAGCAGCAAGCCUCAUGACCUAGAGAGUUCAUAGGUGGAUGGCAUCCUCUCUUUAUAAUGAGAAUUCUGAUUGAGUCCUCUAGCUUAGUUUUGAAAUGUUAAGUAGGUACUGAAAGAAUUUAGCAAAUCCAUUUACUCUCCCCAAAGCCUUGCUUUCAAGCUAAAUUCUUAUUCUUUCCUGACCUAAAGCAGUAAGUUUUCUGGCUUGGCCUUGAAGAUUAGACCAAAAAGAAAUGUGAUUUAGGGAAUGUCAUGAAAUACACUGGUUAUUAUUUGCAAAAUACUGUUCCUGGUACAGUUACAUAAACACAGUUAAAAGUCCAGAAAUCUAUGUAGCUGAAUGUGCGGUUUGCACUUUCUAGCUUCUGGUAAAAUUAACAUGACAAUCACUUUCUAAUCAAUUUUGUCUAGCAAGUAGAAAAGGUGGAGAGCUAGUUUUAUUGUAAGCAAAAGGUUGAUAAGAACUUAGUAGAUUAUAUUUAGUAUACAGCCUAUAAAAAAGAGAAAUAAUUACAGCCAUAGUGACAAAAACAGGCAAACACUUCUUUUAUCAACAAAUAACGAAUUAACAAAAAAGGUGACUUUUACAGUGUAAUGUUCCUGAGGAGUUUUUAAACUGCCAGUUUUAGAGAUUGUUUUCUAAGUGUUUUGUCAGAAGAAAAAGCUUUAAUAAUUUUUAUUUUUUGAAUGCUACAGUGUAGAGUUUUGUUUUAUGUGAUAGCAAAAUAAAUUCACUUCUGUUUUACUUUAUUUUUUCUCAUUCUAUUUCACCAUCUGUAGUGGGCCUGGUCAGAUAGAGGUGAAAAUUAAGUUACAGUAACAUGAAAAGUAUACCUAGAAAAUCAUGUGAAUUCUUUAAUGAAGGUUCUGCAUUUACUUUACUUGAAGAAAUAUUUCCUUCGUGGUACAGACUGAAAAUCAGAAGUAUUGAAUUAAAUAUUUGUAAAAGAAUAGUGAAUUAUCCACUGUUGCAUUGCAUUAUAUAUCUUAGUCUUGGUAUUCUAUUCUAAUUACAAGGUAAAAUUUCUCCCAAAUUCCAAGUUUACAUUACAAAUAAAACACAUAUAAUGGCCACAACUCCUAAAAUAUUCUCCGAAAUUAUGGGCACAUUUAUUCAUGUUAACAUGAGGUUUGCA
rnacentral:lncRNA from 1 species